rnacentral:lncRNA from 12 species
GCCUCCCUCUUACCCACAAUGCCCGUCUCCUACCCACAAGACCUCUCUCGCCCACAAUGCCCGUCCCGCACCCAUCCCGCCUCCCUUUUAAGACAAUGCCCAUCUCCUACCCACAAUACCUGUCUCCUACCCGCAAUACAUCUCUCACCAGCAAUGCCCUUCCCGUACCACUUCCCUUUUACCCACAAUGCCCGCCGUGUACCUGCACUGCCUCCCUCUCACCCACAAUGCCCCCCUCCUACCCACAAUACCUCUUUCCCCCGCAACGGCCGCCCAUCCCGCACCGCCUCCCUCUCACCCACAAUGCCCCCCUCCUACCCACAAUACCUCUUUCCCCCGCAACGGCCGCCCAUCCCGCACCGCCUCCCUCUCGCCCACAAUGCCCCUCUCCUACCCACAAUACCUCUUUCCCCCGCAACGGCCGCCCAUCCCGCAGCGCCUCCCUCUCGCCCACAAUGCGGGUUCCGGUUCCCCCGGUACUUCUCUCUUACCCACGGCUUCCGGUUUGUUUCAAGAUCUUUGAAGACCCAAGAAAAGCAGUAUUGACCCAAAGCAAGACAAAUGACUCAUAGAGAAAAAAGAUGGUGGGGCCAAGGGCAAUUAAAGCUGUCUCUGGUUCUGAGUGGAUGGUGAGUGAGCUGACCUGCUGAAGGACAUGGUUCAGACUGUCCCAGACCCAGCAGCUCAUAUCAAGGCUUUUUUGGCUGAAGAGCGCUUCUCAUCUUUCCCACAUCUUCAGUGCUUGACACAAUGCUGAGCAUAGAGUCGAUGCCAGUAAAGAUCUUGGUGAAUGGAUGAACAAUCACAUAAGAAGAAUAUUUGCUGCUUUAACCAUGCUGCAAAAAUCUUUUUUGAGCCGUGGUCUCGGGGUUGUCAGAUCAAGCCCUGCGUCUGGCAUUGUGCCGAGCUUGGAGCCUGCUGGGGUUCUCUCUCUCCCCCUCCUUCCCUCCUUCCCCAAAAUAAAAUAAAGUACAAGUGAGGACAAA